AGAGUGAACGCUGGCGGUAGGCCUAACACAUGCAAGUCGACCGGCAGCACGGUAAGAGCUCGCUCUUAUGGGUGGCGAGUGGCGGACGGGUGAGGAAUACAUCGGAAUCUACCUUUUGGUGGGGGAUAACGUAGGGAAACUUACGCUAAUACCGCAUACGCCCUUCGGGGGAAAGCCGGGGACCAGCAAUGGCCUGGUGCUGAUAGAUGAGCCGAUGUCGGAUUAGCUAGUUGGUGAGGUAAUGGCUCACCAAGGCGACGAUCCGUAGCUGGUCUGAGAGGAUGAUCAGCCACACUGGAACUGAGACACGGUCCAGACUCCUACGGGAGGCAGCAGUGGGGAAUAUUGGACAAUGGGCGCAAGCCUGAUCCAGCCAUACCGCGUGGUGAAGAAGGCCUUGGUUGUAAAGCCCUUUGUUGGAAGAAAGCAUUCGUAAUACCCGGUGUUCUGACGUACCAAAGAAUAAGCACCGGCUAACGUCGUGCCAGCAGCCGACGGUAAC
rnacentral:rRNA from 1 species